UUACUGAGGGCGCACUCAAUCCCCUCAUCCAGAUCAUCGAUAAAGAUAUUAAAGAGGACUGGCCCUAGUACUGAGCGCUGGGGGGCUCCACUAGUGACCAGCCUCCAACUGGAUUUAACUCCAUUUCCAGUAUGUCCAUGUGUCUUUUGUACUCUCGAGCCCAGAACUGGACACAAUACUCAAGGUAUAGCCUGAGGUUAAAAAGCUGGUACUAUAAAUUUGACUCACAGUGAGCCUCAUUCGACACUGCUAAAUGCUUUAGUGUUUAAUUCCCCCCUAUUGUGUUAUAUGAUGAAUAAAAAAAAAUAAUAAAAAAAAGGAAGUUAAAACAAACAAACACACGAACAAAUCCAGUGACCAGUAUGAUGGUGGUAAGAAGUCUGGUAUCAUGGUAAUCAGUGUUUUUGUUUGUUUGUUUGUUUGUUUGCUUUUUUAGUUGCUAAAGUAGUAUCUAAAGAGAAACAGUAGUAUCUAGAGAAACAAAAGUAGCCAGAGGGAAAAAAAGAAAGAAGAAAGUGAAGGGUUGCAGAGGAAAUGGUUGAACAUUGAGAUUUCAUUGCGAGACUCCCGUUGCUGCAAAUUCUCGUCUAAACACCCACGGAGACUUUCUGGACUCACACAGCCUAACGGCCUGGCCAAAGCAUUACUUCCCGCAGUAGCAUCCAGGCUUGGCCUGAGAACACAAAGGCAAGGGCAGUCCACCCUACUCCUUUGAUCAGGAAAGGACGAACAGACAGAGGGCGAGCAGGGGGAGGCAGAAGAACCGUCCAUUUACAGCGGAGGGGCAGCCGAUAGCACAUUACGAGUCAGCUUGCCAACUUCUGAGAUGUGCUGCUGGUCCCUGACCAGGCUGAGGCUACUUCUGCGCCCGCCCCCUUGGCUGGUUGUGCUGGCUCCCAACGGGCACUUCUCUUUUGAAACCAUUCCUGGGACUUCACCCAUUCUUCUUAGGAUCAUUUCUGAUUCUAAACAUUCAAAAAGCCACUUUAAUAUAUAUAUUGUGUCUGACUCAUUCUGGUCCCUCAGAGCAGCACGGCAGCAUCUCACCCAACGCUGCGAACCCCCCACUCUUUGCCUCCCUCCCUCCCGCUCCUCCCCCUCGCGCUCCCAGCCCGCGCUCCUCCCUCAGCCGCCCCCGCGCGGGGCGGACGAGACAAGAUGGCGGCGGGCGCGGCGGGGAGGCAGCACCAAGAGCUAA
rnacentral:lncRNA from 1 species